AUUGAACGCUGGCGGCAUGCCUUACACAUGCAAGUCGAACGGCAGCACGGGAGCAAUCCUGGUGGCGAGUGGCGAACGGGUGAGUAAUAUAUCGGAACGUGCCCAGUAGUGGGGGAUAGCCCGGCGAAAGCCGGAUUAAUACCGCAUACGACCUGAGGGUGAAAGCGGGGGAUCGCAAGACCUCGCGCUAUUGGAGCGGCCGAUAUCAGAUUAGGUAGUUGGUGGGGUAAAGGCCCACCAAGCCAACGAUCUGUAGCUGGUCUGAGAGGACGACCAGCCACACUGGAACUGAGACACGGUCCAGACUCCUACGGGAGGCAGCAGUGGGGAAUUUUGGACAAUGGGCGCAAGCCUGAUCCAGCAAUGCCGCGUGCAGGAAGAAGGCCUUCGGUUGUAAACUGCUUUGUACGGAACGAAAAAGUCCGGGUUAAUACCCUGGGCCCAUGACGGUACCGUAAGAAUAAGCACCGGCUAACUACGUG
rnacentral:rRNA from 1 species